rnacentral:lncRNA from 1 species
ACCUCCUCGAUCGUCCAGACUUCUCCGAUAAUGAACUUCUACAUUCAUCCAUCGGGCCACCCCGAAGGUCCUCUGGGGCUCACUGUCAACCGACCUUCUACAGCAACCAACUACCCCCCCGAACUUCUUUCGGACUUCGUCAGCGUCCGAGCUUUCACGACAACGAGAUUUCUACGGUAACCAGACUCCACCCGAGUUUCUACGACGGUCGACCACCCCCCGAAUCCUAAUCGAGCUCCCGC